GCUGGCGGCAUGCCUAACACAUGCAAGUCGAACGGUAACAGCGGAAGCUUGCUUCCGGCUGACGAGUGGCGGACGGGUGAGUAAUACAUAGGAAUCUGCCCUGUAGUGGGGGACAACCCGGAGAAAUCCGGGCUAAUACCGCAUAAUCUCUACGGAGGAAAGGGGGCUUCGGCUCUCGCUAUUGGAUGAGCCUAUGUCUGAUUAGCUUGUUGGUGGGGUAAAAGCCUACCAAGGCGACGAUCAGUAGCUGGUCUGAGAGGAUGAUCAGCCACACUGGGACUGAGACACGGCCCAGACUCCUACGGGAGGCAGCAGUGGGGAAUAUUGGACAAUGGGGGAAACCCUGAUCCAGCAAUGCCGCGUGGGUGAAGAAGGCUCGCGGGUUGUAAAGCCCUUUCAGUAGCGAGGAAAAGCUGAGUGUUAAUACCAUUCA
rnacentral:rRNA from 1 species